ensembl:lncRNA novel transcript
AGCAUUCCUUGACUUGCAGACAUCUUCCCAGUCUCCCUUCCAUCUUCACAUGGGCUUCUCAGCUGUGUGGUCCCUGUAUGUCCUGUCUCUUUAUUAGGCCACCCUCAGUGAAUUUAGAAUUCACUCUAACAAAGUAUGAUCUCACGUUGAUCCUUAACGCAUGACAUCUGCAAAGAUCUAUUUCCACGUGACAGUGAGUGGCCUCCCUGAGAGCAGGACUGUGCCAUCCUCAUGCUGUGUCCCCAGUGACUAGCUCAGUCCUCCGCAGACAGGAAGCUCCAAGCAAACGUCUAGUAAAUAAGUGAAUGAAUGAGUGAUCAGAAUGCACUCUUCUUUGUUGGUGCCAUCCCUUAAGCCCUUCUAAGUGUGACUUGUUUUGACUCAAUGGCAAGUCCAUUGACUUAAAUACCUUGACCAGUUCUCUCAUCCUAAAGUGUCUGGGAGUGUACAAAAGCAAAAAGAGAACACCAAGUUGCUUA